AUUGAACGCUGGCGGCAUGCUUUACACAUGCAAGUCGAACGGCAGCGCGGGCUUCGGCCUGGCGGCGAGUGGCGAACGGGUGAGUAAUGCAUCGAAACGUGCCCAGUAGUGGGGGAUAGCCCGGCGAAAGCCGGAUUAAUACCGCAUACGACCUGAGGGUGAAAGCGGGGGACCGAAAGGCCUCGCGCUAUUGGAGCGGCCGAUGGCGGAUUAGCUAGUUGGUGGGGUAAAGGCUUACCAAGGCGACGAUCCGUAGCUGGUCUGAGAGGACGACCAGCCACACUGGGACUGAGACACGGCCCAGACUCCUACGGGAGGCAGCAGUGGGGAAUUUUGGACAAUGGGGGCAACCCUGAUCCAGCCAUGCCGCGUGCGGGAAGAAGGCCUUCGGGUUGUAAACCGCUUUUGUUCGGGAAGAAAUCCUCUGGGCUAAUACCCCGGGGGGAUGACGGUACCGGAAGAAUAAGCACCGGCUAACUACGUG
rnacentral:rRNA from 1 species